rnacentral:lncRNA from 1 species
AUCCAAGGUGAAAAAUCCAGGAAAGAAUGGAAAGGUGAAAAUCCCAUCAGGGUGAGAUGGCUGUAUCUGUUCAGCGUGGCCUAGCAUGCAUUCCAGGAGCUUGGAGCACAUUCUUUCCUUACAUGAGUUCGUACUACUCUGUCAGCUUUCCUGGCGUUACAUCACUGUGACAAGGUGUUUCCAGGACUACUGUGUCUGCACAAGUUCUGAAAAGUUUGGAGUAAAGUGCCUGCUUUCUCUACUCAGGUUCAAGCCCAUUAAAAGGAUUUGAGGAAAUCCAUUCAGCACUGUGCACAAUGAAGAAGAAAUGGGAACCAUUCUGAUGAGUUGCAGGUAUCAUUUCAGACCUCUAAAAACUAGAGGAAAAAUAUAUUUGUAUUCUAAAAAGAUAACAGCAACCUCCAUGUACUCUCAAGGAUUGUCAGCAGUUGGCCUCUAGUCUAGCUUGAAGAUUUUGGUAACCCUAGCAGCUACCAGCAGGUCCAGACAAGCUUAAACUAGAGAUUGCCUAAACCACAGAUUGCUGGGAGGGUGCAUACCACCUGUAAAACAGCAGCCGUUGACCUGUUCUUGUAUUUCCACUUCUGAACAUCCACUGCUGGUAAUUGCCAGACACAAAAUGUGGGAAUAGUUGGAUCUUUGUUCAACCUAACAUGCUUGGUCUUUUCGUUUGUUUACAUCAUUUUUAGUAAGGGUAGAAAUGAGACACCUUCUAUCCUAACUGCACAGAGCCAUAUGGAAAAGCAGCAGUUUUUAUUGACCCUGGUCACCCAAGGGCACCCUGUUACAAAGAGGCACCCCUGAGACAUGGAUCCACCAAGCUUGCCAAUAUAGUAGAAGCAGCACCUAUAGCAGAUGGCAGCUUGGAGUUGCAUAGGUUUUAGAGGUGUCUAAAUGCAGAAGGGGGUUGUAGGGGUGGGAGAAACAGGAGAGCAUCAGUUGGUUGCGAAGUUGGAGUGAAAGCCUUUAUAUGUAUUUUCAGCUGUUAGAGAUGCAGGUGGUUCUGUUAGUAACUUUUCCUUCAUACAGAGAAGCCUUUUAAACACCCAUUUGCAUCUGCCUUGGAUGAAUAUAUAUAUACACACAUAUAUAUAUUUCUAUAAAUCUUUCACCUUCACUGUGUGCAGUCAGUGAAGGAAAAGGGUCUCUUAAAUCUGUGAAAUUAAAUUUGACUCAAAGAUAAUUUAGGGUGAUAAUAAAGGUGAAAGUUCAGUAUCUUUCUGACCUAAU